GAAUUGACGGGGGCCCGCACAAGCGGAGGAACAUGUGGUUUAAUUCGAUGAUACGCGAGGAACCUUACCCGGGCUUGAAUUGCAGAUGAAGGAUCCAGAGAUGGUGACGCCCUUCGGGGCAUCUGUGAAGGUGCUGCAUGGUUGUCGUCAGCUCGUGCCGUGAGGUGUCGGCUCAAGUGCCAUAACGAGCGCAACCCCUUUCUUCAGUUGCCAUCAGGUAAAGCUGGGCACUCUGGAGAUACUGCCACCGCAAGGUGUGAGGAAGGUGGGGAUGACGUCAAAUCAGCACGGCCCUUACGUCCGGGGCUACACACGUGUUACAAUGGGGGGUACAGAAAGCCGGCUGCCCGCAAGGUCAGUCCAAUCAAGAAAGCCUCCCUCAGUUCGGACUGGGGUCUGCAACCCGACCCCACGAAGCUGGAUUCGCUAGUAAUCGCGCAUCAGCCAUGGCGCGGUGAAUACGUUCCCGGGCCUUGUACACACCG
rnacentral:rRNA from 1 species